UACAGGGGGUGCAAACGUUGCUCGGAAUUAUUGGGCGUAAAGCGCGCGUAGGCGGCUACUUAAGUCGGAUGUGAAAGCCCCUGGCUCAACUGGGGAAGUGCACCCGAAACUGAGUGGCUUGAGUGCGAAAGAGGGUCGCGGAAUUCCCGGUGUAGAGGUGAAAUGCGUAGAUAUCCGGAGGAACACCGGUGGCGAAGGCGGCUUCCUGGACCGACACUGACGCUGAGGCGCGAAAGCUAGGGGAGCAAACGGG
rnacentral:rRNA from 1 species